rnacentral:rRNA from 1 species
AGUGAACGCUGGCGGUAUGCCUAACACAUGCAAGUCGAACGGCAGCACAGUAAGAGCUUGCUCUUACGGGUGGCGAGUGGCGGACGGGUGAGGAAUACAUCGGAAUCUACUUUUUCGUGGGGGAUAACGUAGGGAAACUUACGCUAAUACUGCAUACGUCCUACGGGUGAAAGCAGGGGAUCUUCGGACCUUGCGCGAUUGAAUGAGCCGAUGUCGGAUUAGCUAGUUGGCGGGGUAAAGGCCCACCAAGGCGACGAUCCGUAGCUGGUCUGAGAGGAUGAUCAGCCACACUGGAACUGAGACACGGUCCAGACUCCUACGGGAGGCAGCAGUGGGGAAUAUUGGACAAUGGGCGCAAGCCUGAUCCAGCAAUACCGCGUGGGUGAAGAAGGCCUUCGGGUUGUAAAGCCCUUUUGUUGGGAAAGAAAAGCAGCAGGUUAAUACCCCGCUGUUAUGACGGUACCCAAAGAAUAAGCACCGGCUAACUUCGUG